GCCUAGGCAGUUAGAGGCGAUGAAGGACGUGUAAGUCUGCGAAAAGCUGUGGUGAGCUGACAAAACGCAUUUGAGCCACAGAUGUCCGAAUGGGGGAACCCACACAUUUAUGUGUAUCGUUAACUGAAUUCAUAGGUUAACGAGGCGAACGAGGGGAACUGAAACAUCUAAGUACCCUUAGGAAAAGAAAUCAACCGAGAUUCCCUGAGUAGCGGCGAGCGAAAGGGGAGCAGCCGAUAAGCAAAGUAUUAGUGGAAUCUUCUGGAAAGUUGAGCGAUACCGGGUGAUAGCCCCGUACAUGAAGAUGCUUUGUUUACAUAUUAAGUAGGUCGGGACACGUGUUAUCUUGACUGAAGAUGGGGGGACCAUCCUCCAAGGCUAAAUACUCCUAACUGACCGAUAGUGAACCAGUACCGUGAGGGAAAGGCGAAAAGAACCCCUGUGAGGGGAGUGAAAUAGAACCUGAAACCGUAUACGUACAAGCAGUGGGAGCAGACUUGUUCUGUGACUGCGUACCUUUUGUAUAAUGGGUCAGCGACUUAUAUUUAGUAGCAAGGUUAACCGAAUAGGGGAGCCGUAGCGAAAGCG
rnacentral:rRNA from 12 species